GGUUAAGCGACUAAGCGUACACGGUGGAUGCCCUGGCAGUCAGAGGCGAUGAAGGACGUGCUAAUCUGCGAAAAGCGUCGGUAAGGUGAUAUGAACCGUUAUAACCGGCGAUGUCCGAAUGGGGAAACCCAGUGCAAUUCGUUGCACUAUCGUUAACUGAAUACAUAGGUUAACGAGGCGAACCGGGGGAACUGAAACAUCUAAGUACCCCGAGGAAAAGAAAUCAACCGAGAUUCCCCCAGUAGCGGCGAGCGAACGGGGAGCAGCCCAGAGUCUGAAUCAGCUUGUGUGUUAGUGGAACGGUCUGGAAAGUCCGACGGUACAGGGUGAUAGUCCCGUACACCAAAAUGCACAGGCUGUGAACUCGAAGAGUAGGGCGGGACACGUGGUAUCCUGUCUGAAUAUGGGGGGGACCAUCCUCCAAGGCUAAAUACUCCUGACUGACCGAUAGUGAACCAGUACCGUGAGGGAAAGGCGAAAAGAACCCCGGCGAGGGGAGUGAAAAAGAACCUGAAACCGUGUACGUACAAGCAGUGGGAGCACCUUCGGGUGUGACUGCGUACCUUUUGUAUAAUGGGUCAGCGACUUAUAUUCUGUAGCAAGGUUAACCGUAUAGGGGAGCCGCAGGGAAACCGAGUCUUAACUGGGCGUUAAGUUGCAGGGUAUAGACCCGAAACCCGGUGAUCUAGCCAUGGGCAGGUUGAAGGUUGGGUAACACUAACUGGAGGACCGAACCGACUAAUGUUGAAAAAUUAGCGGAUGACUUGUGGCUGGGGGUGAAAGGCCAAUCAAACCGGGAGAUAGCUGGUUCUCCCCGAAAGCUAUUUAGGUAGCGCCUCGUGAAUUCAUCUUCGGGGGUAGAGCACUGUUUCGGCUAGGGGGUCAUCCCGACUUACCAACCCGAUGCAAACUACGAAUACCGAAGAAUGUUAUCACGGGAGACACACGGCGGGUGCUAACGUCCGUCGUGAAGAGGGAAACAACCCAGACCGCCAGCUAAGGUCCCAAAGUCAUGGUUAAGUGGGAAACGAUGUGGGAAGGCACAGACAGCCAGGAUGUUGGCUUAGAAGCAGCCAUCAUUUAAAGAAAGCGUAAUAGCUCACUGGUCGAGUCGGCCUGCGCGGAAGAUGUAACGGGGCUAAACCAUGCACCGAAGCUGCGGCAGCGACACUAUGUGUUGUUGGGUAGGGGAGCGUUCUGUAAGCCUGCGAAGGUGACCUGUGAGGGUUGCUGGAGGUAUCAGAAGUGCGAAUGCUGACAUAAGUAACGAUAAAGCGGGUGAAAAGCCCGCUCGCCGGAAGACCAAGGGUUCCUGUCCAACGUUAAUCGGGGCAGGGUGAGUCGACCCCUAAGGCGAGGCCGAAAGGCGUAGUCGAUGGGAAACAGGUUAAUAUUCCUGUACUUGGUGUUACUGCGAAGGGGGGACGGAGAAGGCUAUGUUAGCCGGGCGACGGUUGUCCCGGUUUAAGCAUGUAGGCUGGUUGUCCAGGCAAAUCCGGAUAAUCAAGGCUGAGGUGUGAUGACGAGGUACUACGGUGCUGAAGUAACAAAUGCCCUGCUUCCAGGAAAAGCCUCUAAGCAUCAGGUAACAUCAAAUCGUACCCCAAACCGACACAGGUGGUCAGGUAGAGAAUACCAAGGCGCUUGAGAGAACUCGGGUGAAGGAACUAGGCAAAAUGGUGCCGUAACUUCGGGAGAAGGCACGCUGGUGUGUAGGUGAAGUCCCUGCGGAUGGAGCUGAGACCAGUCGAAGAUACCAGCUGGCUGCAACUGUUUAUUAAAAACACAGCACUGUGCAAACACGAAAGUGGACGUAUACGGUGUGACGCCUGCCCGGUGCCGGAAGGUUAAUUGAUGGGGUUAUCCGUAAGGAGAAGCUCUUGAUCGAAGCCCCGGUAAACGGCGGCCGUAACUAUAACGGUCCUAAGGUAGCGAAAUUCCUUGUCGGGUAAGUUCCGACCUGCACGAAUGGCGUAAUGAUGGCCAGGCUGUCUCCACCCGAGACUCAGUGAAAUUGAACUCGCUGUGAAGAUGCAGUGUACCCGCGGCAAGACGGAAAGACCCCGUGAACCUUUACUAUAGCUUGACACUGAACAUUGAGCCUUGAUGUGUAGGAUAGGUGGGAGGCUUUGAAGCGUGGACGCCAGUCUGCGUGGAGCCAACCUUGAAAUACCACCCUUUAAUGUUUGAUGUUCUAACGUUGGCCCCUGACCGGGGUUGCGGACAGUGUCUGGUGGGUAGUUUGACUGGGGCGGUCUCCUCCCAAAGCGUAACGGAGGAGCACGAAGGUUAGCUAAUCCUGGUCGGACAUCAGGAGGUUAGUGCAAUGGCAUAAGCUAGCUUGACUGCGAGCGUGACGGCGCGAGCAGGUGCGAAAGCAGGUCAUAGUGAUCCGGUGGUUCUGAAUGGAAGGGCCAUCGCUCAACGGAUAAAAGGUACUCCGGGGAUAACAGGCUGAUACCGCCCAAGAGUUCAUAUCGACGGCGGUGUUUGGCACCUCGAUGUCGGCUCAUCACAUCCUGGGGCUGAAGUAGGUCCCAAGGGUAUGGCUGUUCGCCAUUUAAAGUGGUACGCGAGCUGGGUUUAGAACGUCGUGAGACAGUUCGGUCCCUAUCUGCCGUGGGCGCUGGAGAAUUGAGGGGGGCUGCUCCUAGUACGAGAGGACCGGAGUGGACGCAUCACUGGUGUUCGGGUUGUCAUGCCAAUGGCACUGCCCGGUAGCUAAAUGCGGAAGAGAUAAGUGCUGAAAGCAUCUAAGCACGAAACUUGCCCCGAGAUGAGUUCUCCCUGAGACUUUAAGUCUCCUGAAGGAACGUUAAAGACGAUGACGUUGAUAGGCCGGGUGUGUAAGCGCAGCGAUGCGUUGAGCUAACCGGUACUAAUGAACCGUGAGGCUUAACCUU
rnacentral:rRNA from 1 species